CUAAGAAUAUUCCGCAAUGGACGAAAGUCUGACGGAGCGACGCCGCGUGGAUGACGAAGGCCGAAAGGUUGUAAAAUCCUUUUGUUGGGGAAGAAUAAGGCUGGGAGGGAAUGCCCGGUCGAUGACAUGAACCGACGAAUAAGCCCCGGCUAACUACGUGCCAGCAGCCGCGGUAACACGUAGGGGGCGAGCGUUGUUCGGAAUUACUGGGCGUAAAGGGCAUGUAGGCGGCUUGGUAAGCCUGGCGUGAAAGUCCACAGCUUAACUGUGGGACAGCGCUGGGAACUGCUGAGCUUGAGUUAUGGAGAGGGAGCUGGAAUUCCUGGUGUAGGGGUGAAAUCUGUAGAGAUCAGGAAGAACACCGAUGGCGAAGGCAAGCUCCUGGCCAAUGACUGACGCU
rnacentral:rRNA from 1 species